ensembl:lncRNA
GUUGGAACGCGCUGCUUUUCUAUCGCGAAUGUGCCGAAUCUGCUGAUGUAAUUACAACCGCUAGGUGAUAGAGAAGGAGAGGGGGAGGCCGGGAGAGAGUUGAACCAGAGCCCGUCUACGGAUAGCCUUCCCACUCCCUAUUAAGUCCUAUUGUACCGAAUUUUGGUUGCAGUUCCACCAGAGUUCCACUGGGGCUGAUCGCCAUGAGUGUCCUUUCGAUUUCUUACAGGUUGAGUUGUUGUUGCCCUUAACACGCUAGCAUUCUGCUAAUGAACGUAUAACGUAUGACGUCCUUGACAUUUUAAAAGACUUUUUAAAGCAAAUAAGUGACUCUAAAAAAUCUAACACCCAGCAAUGUGUAAUUUCUUUGCAUGUCCUUUCUAAUACAACAUUCAAAUUACUAGACAAAAAAUUAUAUCCUGAGAAAAGUGGAUUUUGAGGGGUAUACCGCCACUGACCGCCAUUCAUUCUGCACUCGUCCUGUGAGCGCCCUCAUAUGGAAUCAGAGUGGAACUGCAACCAGUUCAGAAGCCGGAAGUGUAGUGAGAGUGAAACUUCUCGCCAUGGUUGAACUCUAGUGCCUCAGUUGGUAAAAAAAAAUUAGCCAAUCAACAUCGAGUGUUCUCUUUCAGCGCUGAGGAGUGUUGAGGAAAGAAACCUCGUAAAGGAGGCUAGCAUGCCUUCUGGUAUCAACCAAUCAUAGAGAUGUAAAUUACGUGCUAUUAGUUUGAACGUCUCGCGCUGCGCUGAUAAUGAUCCAGACCAGGUACUUAUGAUGAGUAGCGAUAUUGAAUAUUUGAUCGCCAACAGAUUUACCAAGCUGUCAUUCAAACAGUAUAUAUACAAAUUAAAAAAAGAGAAAACACUCCGAAGCUGGAUAUAGGCUACAGCAGUCGCGGCUUAAUUAAAUAGCACAACAGGCAGCUCUCUUUUAACGGAGACUUUUAAGGGAUGAAUGUUUGCUUCAAAUGAUAGGCCAGGGUGAUAAAUGCAGGUAAGAGUGCUCUGAAUGAGGACCAGGCAUGCUGUGAGGUUGUACUGGUUAAGAAGAAACCUAUAGGAUCCUUGACACCCGAAAAGCUGCCUACAAAUAGAAGGAGGUCAUCUCUUCCCAGUAGCAAUUGCAUGGGCAUGUUGGAAAAUAAUGUAAGUCCUUGUUCACAGUACCAGGGAAAAAAGAGAAUGUUAAUAUUUGUGAUUAAUAUUUGGGUUGUUGAUGUGACGUGGCAUUUUCAC